rnacentral:rRNA from 1 species
CCUACGGGGGGCUGCAGUGGGGAAUAUUGCACAAUGGGGGAAACCCUGAUGCAGCAACGCCGCGUGAGCGAUGAAGGCCUUCGGGUCGUAAAGCUCUGUCCUAAGGGAAGAAUACUGACGGUACCUUAGGAGGAAGCCCCGGCUAACUACGUGCCAGCAGCCGCGGUAAUACGUAGGGGGCUAGCGUUAUCCGGAAUUACUGGGCGUAAAGGGGGCGUAGGCGGCCCUUCAAGUCAGGGGGGAAAGGGUAAGGCCUAACCGUAGUAAGCCUUUGAAACUGGAGGGCUUGGGUGCAGGAGGGGGGAGUGGAAUUCCCAAUGGAGCGGUGAAAUGCGUAGGUAAUGGGGGGAACAACAGUUGCGAAGGCGGCUCUCUGGACUGUAACUGACGCUGAGGCACGAAAGCGUGGGGAGCGAACAGGAUUAGAUACCCUUGUAGUC